AACGAACGCUGGCGGCAGGCCUAACACAUGCAAGUCGAGCGAGGACUUCGGUUCUAGCGGCGGACGGGUGAGUAACGCGUGGGAAUGUGCCCUUCUCUACGGAAUAGCCCUGGGAAACUGGGAGUAAUACAGUAUACGCCCUAUUGGGGAAAGAUUUAUCGGAGAAGGAUCAGCCCGCGUUGGAUUAGGUAGUUGGUGGGGUAAUGGCCUACCAAGCCGACGAUCCAUAGCUGGUUUGAGAGGAUGCUCAGCCACACUGGGACUGAGACACGGCCCAGACUCCUACGGGAGGCAGCAGUGUAGAGUCUUAGACACUGGGGGCAACUCUGAUCUAGCCAUGCCGCGUAUGUGAUGAAGGCCUUAGGGUUGUAAAUCUCUCUCAGCUGGGAAGAUAAUGACGGUACCAGCAGAAGAAGCCCCGGCUAACUCCGUG
rnacentral:rRNA from 1 species